CAUUCAUCUGCUGCCUGUGGUUGGUGACUGACACUAAAUCAAGGCUCAGACACAUUAAACCUCUAAUUACUGCUGAUUUCUUCCUCUAUUCUUUCUUUUCUCCAGGGCAAUACAGAUAUAUGGGAAUAUAUCCAUAUGGAUGUGCUGCCUUUGGGCAUACUUCUGUCCCAGUCCUGUAGCACAGCUUGGUGCAAGAUGGAGGAGGUGCAAAGCUGGUGUAAAUCUCACCUGGCUCAGCAGCAUCAUUUCAACUGCUCGGGAGGCUUCAGAAGCUGAACUUUGGCAAACGGGGAUCAGUGGCUUCAGGGCAGUCUGGGCACAAAAAAACUUCUUUGCUCUUCAGCAAUGAGUAACUUCAUCUGAGCUGAAGCAAGACUGGAGGAAGGCUGAUAAAAAGCAAUCCAAAGGUCCCCAGUGGAUCCAACCUGUCAGCUCUGACUGUGCACAGGGACGAGAUGCCCUCAGCGGUGUGAGGUUUGAUCAGACCCAUCCAAACACAAAGAUAAGACAAUCUUCUUCAAUAAUUGAAGUGGUAUUAAGGUCGGGCCUCUCACUUUUAGUACUUUUCAACUCUCUUGCCAAUUAUUUCCUUGCUCUUUGCAGAGAAAUUACACUUCUCUCAGUUUGGCAUUUGUUCUGCUCUGUGCCACGGGCUCCCAGCAGCUCCAGCACAGCCUGACCUCCCAGAGCAGCGGGAAUAUCAUAACUUGUUUUCAUGGAGACUGGAGGAAAGAAAUAAAUAAAUGUGGCUGGGAAUAGCAAGGCUUCACCUGCUGCCUCCAGGAUAAACCAGGGAGAGCCAUGGUCUUGUUGUGAGGUUACACGAAGAAGAGGGGACAGCCCCAGGUGUUGUCCCUGUCUCUGUGUCACCAGGGCCAUGGUUGGAGCUGUGGGAUUUGUGUGGCCUCAUCAUUCCCAAGGGAUGGGGAGCAAACCCCAACCCAUGUGCUGCUUCACCAGGGCUACCCCUCAAGAACCAACGUGGUGGGCUUGGAGCAACCUGGGCUAGUGGAAGGUGUCCCUGCCCAUGGCAAGGGUGGAACUGGAUGAUCCUUCGAGUCCAUUCCAACCCAAGCCAUUCCACGAUUCUGAGACUGCCCAAACAUGGCAGGGAUGGCAUUUAUUCGGGAUGUGCUCAGAGUUACUGGGUGAUGCCCCAGCAUAAGCUGGGAGAUGUACCUUUAGAAUACACCACUGAAAAAUUCCAUAAAAUUCCAUCUGGCUGGUGGAAUUGCAGCCUGGGAGCCAGAAAAGCUCCGAUUUGAAUCCCAGUCUUAUUGCUGAGCUGCUGUGUGGUCCUGAAAGAUCAUUUCUCGUUCUUCUCUUAUGCUUUACUUAUGAGGUUACAACACUUCUGGAGCAGCAAAUUUCUGUCCGAGGAAAGUUUUGAUGCUGUCUGUGCCAGGGGUGGCUUUGUCAUGGUUAAGGUUUCUAGGUCCUACAGGGAUCCUCCAGACACUGCUGGUGAAGGUGGGUCUUCCAAAACUGCCCUGACAAUGAAAAUGGACAUCUGGUCUGAGAUCAUUCCUUUUUAAUUGAUGCUUGGAGGGAAUUUCUUAGAAUAAUGACUUUCCUUGUCAGAGGAUUCAAUCUGCCCUCACCCUGCAUUGGAUAUUUUCUCACACAGAAGAGCAGGUGAAUUUUGUCAGAGCAGAAGGUUGGGGUGGGUUAAUCCCAGAAAUUCUCAGCUCAGAUCCUCCUUACCCCUGGUGAAAUGAAAAGCUGAACCCAGGUGGGACUGCU